CUGGGAACCUCAGUCUGGACCCUAAUGAUGAAGCGAAUCACCAGUCCCUACAUAAUGGGAACGCCAUGUGUAACAUUAACCCCACAAGAGAGGUUGGUCUUUGUUCUCGCCUGGGAGCGGAGCGAUUGAGAGAGUGAGGAGGUGCAGGCUCCCAGAGUGAGGAGGUGAGAGAUGCUUCCAGGUUGUUCUUGUUGCAGUUCAAAGGCCUGGGACGUGCCUCCUUCGCAUCCGGCUCCCCAAGGCCACUUUGCACGACACCCACCUCCCAAAGAAGAGAAUUACAGAGUCUCAUGUGCCUUCCAUUUCGGGAGAAACUUCUCAAAGGAAUAUUUGCUCCCUUACAGGUUAACGGGUGUCAGGGGUUCAGGGACAGAGGCACAGGGUAGGGAGGAGAUGGAGAGCGAUGGGGGUGAAUCCCAGGACAGCGAGGAAGAGGAUGACAAUGACUCAAGAGAUUCCAUGAGUCUUUCCAGCGAAUCAGAGGAUUCCCAGAAGGGGGCGCCAGUGGUCAAGGCCAGGGGAGCCCCAGGGGGGACGUGUCAGGAACAGGGGGCCAGCGGGGGAUCCCAAAGUGACAGCUGGGCGUCAGGACCAGCCUCCCCACCAGAGUGCAGCGAAGGGGGUGGAGGGUCCAGUGUAUCAGGGGAAGCAGCUCCGGCAGCAGAGAAGGGAGGGAGGUCGGAGCAAGCCAUCCUCCCGGAAGGGGAGGGGAGUAGUGAAGGGAGUAGUGUAACUGUCAAAAGGAAAGUUAGAGGUUGGGCGC
rnacentral:lncRNA from 1 species